CGUGUAGGCGGGAGUGUAAGUCAGACGUGAAAUGCCGGAGCUCAACUCCGGAACGGCGUUUGAAACUACAUUUCUUGAGGAUAGGCGGAGAAAAUGGAAUUCCACAUGUAGCGGUGAAAUGCGUAGAUAUGUGGAAGAACACCUGUGGCGAAAGCGGUUUUCUAGCUUAUUCCUGACGCUAAGGCGCGAAAGCAAGGGGAGCGAACAGGAUUAGAUACCCUGGUAGUCC
rnacentral:rRNA from 1 species